rnacentral:rRNA from 1 species
GAUACCGCCCUAGUUCUAACCAUAAACGAUGCCAACCAGCGAUCCGCCUGGGUUCCUCAAAUGACUCGGCGGGCAGCUUCCGGGAAACCAAAGUUUUUGGGUUCCGGGGGAAGUAUGGUUGCAAAGCUGAAACUUAAAGGAAUUGACGGAAGGGCACCACAAGGUGUGGGGCCUGCGGCUUAAUUUGACUCAACACGGGAAAACCUACCCGGCCCGGACACACGAAGGAUUGACAGAUUAAGAGCUCUUUCUUGAUUGUGUGGGUGGUGGUGCAUGGCCGUUCCUAGUUGGUGGAGCGAUUUGUCUGGUUAAUUCCGAUAACGAGCGAGACUCUAGCCUACUAAAUAGGCGUUCCGAUCACUUGCGUCGGACGCUCUUCUUAGAGGGAAGGGCGGCGUCUAGCCGCACGAGACGGGGCGAAAACAGGUCAGUGAUGCCCUUAGAUGUCCGGGGCCGCACGCGCGCCACACUGAAGGAAUCAGCGUGUGCUCUCCCUGUCCGCUAGGACUGGGUAACCCGUGGAACCUCCUUCGUGAUAGGGAUAGGGGCUUGUAACUGUUCCCCUUGAACGAGGAAUACCUAGUAAGCGCGAGUCAUUAGCUCGUGUUGAUUAUGUCCCUGCCCUUUGUGCACACCGCCCGUCGCUACUACCGAU